UAAACUUAUGUGCAGUUAUCUUUAAAAAACUAAUUUUAUCAUCACUUUAAAAAGCUCCUGACAAAACCACACAUAAACAAUCACAAACUAUUUUAAUUAAAAAAAUUAGAAAGAGUAUUAAUAACUUUCUGUUGAUUUGCUUUGCUGCUUAUUAACUUAGUAAAUUAAAAAAAUGGAAACUAGCCAGUACACAGCAGCUAUGUCUUUUUGUGUUUUAUGACCAAUUACAGUCUAUAAAAUACUAUGGUAUACAUAUUUUUUAUAGUUGUACUGAGAUUUUAUUGAAGUUUGAUUUUAGGAGGUACUAUUAAGUCAAUGAUUUGGCCCAGAGAAAAUUACAGUAUCUACAUGUUUUAAAUAUAGCAUUGAAAAAUGGACUGAGUAUACUGGAUAUAUGAUACGCAGUACUUACUUUGUUAUAGUUGGUGCUAUUACUGAAUCAAUCAAGUAGAUGAAAAAUUAGAAGCAUACGGUGUUCAGGGAGGGAUAAUUCUUUUUUUUUGAGUAGGAAUUUUGCUCUUGUUGCCCAGGCUGGAGUGCAAUGGCGCUAUCUCAGCUUACUGCAACCUCUGCCUCCUGGGUUCAAGCGAUUCACCUGCCUCAGCCUCCCGAGUAGCUGGGAUUACAGGCAUGUGCCACUACGCCUGGCUAAUUUUGUAUUUUUUAGUAAAGACAAGGUUUCUCCAUGUUGGUCAGGCUGGUCUUGAACUCCCAACCUCAGGUGAUUCACCUGCCUCGGCCUCCCAAAAUGCUGGGAUUACAGGCGUGAGCCACUGCGCCUGGCCUGAAUUUUUAUUCUAUAAUUCUGUUAUAGAAUAAAAAAGGGGGGAGGUAUAGUGUGUUGCAAAGUUUUAUGACAAUUUUUGUAGCUAGAAGUAUUCGAAAUUAAAGGAAAAAGAAAAACACAGAAGUAAAUACCUACCAACAUAUGUCCAGUAAUACUAUUUCCAUCUAUGGUAAUCCAGAAAUAAAAGUCUAUAUUGAAAGAUAAGAAGUAGUGUGUCCAAAUACAUCACUGUAGUUGGGUCAUUUUAUCCUGAUUUAAUUUUUUCUAUUUAAAUAAACAAAGGCAACUGCAUUACCAUCUUGUUCUUAAAUAAGAAGAUAACUGGGAAUGACUGAUGACACUGUUAACUUAAACCUUAUUUUUUCAGAGUCCUUGACUAACUUAAGUAACUAAGUAAGCAUUUAAAUAUGACUUCUAUUAUCAGCAUUCAGUAGCUAAUAAUCAUUACUCCAAUUAGUUAUCCAUUAAUAUUAAUUGUGUGAACAACUUUGCAAAAUAUAGAAAUGUUCUAAGUUUGAGAAAACUACUGUUUCAAAGGUCAGAAACCUAGCUUUGAACCCACACAACCAUGGUUAAGGUUAGGACAUGAUGUGUACCGAGUAAAUUUAGAGGCAUUAGGAUUUAAUUCCUCAGUAGCCCUUAGAGUUCAAUGUUGGUAUUUGUGAUUCCCCCAAAUGGACAGAGAUACUUACAACCAAUUCUCACAUCUCAAGAUUCAUGUAAAUAGUGCCAAUUGCCUUUGAAAUCACUGCCAAAUAUUAAUUUUAAAAACCAUCUAAUGAUACUUACUUCCUAACUUUUAACCAUUAUUCUCAUCACGAUCACUCAUUACAAAACUCAUCCACUUUGUCCCAAGUAGAAGCAAAUUAUCUGAUAACCCUCUAUCACCUCAAUAAACUACCUGCCCCUACACUUGCAAAGUUAGCAAAGUCAAGUAUAGAAAACCUAAGAUAGAAGGACUAAGAAGGCAUAGAGACCUUGGGUAGUCCGUCAGUUCUGUAUACUCCUUAGCAGCACAGCAACAAAUCAGCAAUGACAGACAGUAAUUGUCCUAAUCUAGGUCAAUACAACAGCCAAAACUUUGUAAACACUCUCUUUGGCUCUUCCUGGAGAUCAACACUGUUCUAAUUAAAAUGCUGUAGCAUGAAAGGGCUUAAUAGCAACACAAGUGUUCAAAAAUACUUAUUUAUCUAAUAUCAUUUAUCCAAGAAUCUUAAAAAUCACUUAAUACUAAUCAAUUCAAUAACUGAGAGGGGUAGGUACUAAGGAAACUGCAAAGGCCAAGAACAGAAAUUAGGAGUAUAUGCUACUCAAUAAUCUUUGUCAGCUAAAAACUCUGCUGACUUAUAUAGCUCUGAGUAUGUAAGAUAAAGUAUUAUCUACAUGCCUUCAAAAAACCUAAAUUUAGGUAUAAAUGUUACCAAGAUAAUACCUGUUCUUACUAUAUGUCAUUUGUACUUAAUUUUUCUGAAGUCUGAUUUAUUGAAGUUUGAUUUUUGAAGAUACUGUUUAGUCAAUGAUCUGACCCAGAGAAAAAUGUGAAAAAUAUCUGAUGUAAUAUUACUUAAUACUUUGAAACUAAACAUUACACAGUAUUUUAGAUAUCUUAUUUUGAAUCUAUUAUUUUAAAUGUUAGAUUAAAAGUCUACAGUAUCACAUAUACCCAUUGAGUAAUCUUUCCAUUUGAGGCGAAAGGUUUAUGCUAAGCUAUACAUACCAUCUUCCUGAAUUUCUGAGAUGGAUACCUGACGGAAGGUGCAAUCGACAGCUAUAAAAACAUUUUGUGUGUAUGUAAAGUUAAUGAACCUACAAAAGCAUCAAACUCCUGUCCACGGCCUCUUUAGCACCAUACUCCAACCAAGUUAACUGGUUCAAACUGCUACAUAAGACAGUGAUAACUACAGGAAUAAGCACAAAGAAAGGUUAUAUUUUAUCAUGUUAAAAGUUUCACAGAGAUAACAGGUUUACAAUUCAA
rnacentral:lncRNA from 1 species